rfam:Staphylococcus cohnii subsp. cohnii strain 073AN genome assembly, contig: ERS576551SCcontig000006
AAUUGAGUUAGAGGUUGCGUUUUUAAUCAGUAACAAUCUGUAAGCUAUUUGGAGCGUAUGUAGGAUUUGUGAAAGGUAAAAAUGCCGAAAUCAAAAGUGACCAUUUUUCACUAUUGGUUGGGUCAGUUUUCGAAAGAGACUGGACUGUCACAUAUGUGAUGUGCUACCUAUAUA